UACAGAGGGUGCAAGCGUUGUUCGGAAUUAUUGGGCGUAAAGCGCGUGUAGGCGGCUUUGCAAGUCGGGUGUGAAAGCCCCGGGCUCAACCUGGGAAUUGCAUUUGAGACUGAAUAGCUAGGGUGCGGAAGAGGGAAGCGGAAUUUCCGGUGUAGCGGUGAAAUGCGUAGAUAUCAGGAGGAACACCAGCGGCGAAGGCGGCGCUCUGGGCCGGAACUGACGCUGAGGAGCGAAAGCGUGGGGAGCAAACAGG
rnacentral:rRNA from 1 species